rnacentral:misc_RNA from 1 species
AAGUGUUUUCUUACAGCUGAUAUAAUACCUUCCCCGUCAAAGACCUGUCAACUGUACACACAAGUAUAUAUGUUUUGGCUGCUAUAGUGAUUGUGUAUUCUCAGUGUUUCUGCAUGGAAUUAUUGAGGCAUUUUUGCUGUAAGCAAAUUUAUACAUUACAUUUACAAAAUGACAAGAAAGCCGAAAUCAGUUAUUCUUAAUAGCAGGGUUACUGCCCUUUGGCUUAUCGAUUUCGUUUACUCAGCACAUUAUUGUAAUAUGUUAUCUGAACACUGCAUUUUGUGGGACAUGAAUGAAUUUUCCAUGGUCACAUUUUAAGGCAGUGCUGAUCAUUUUAUGAUGACAGUUGCCUGUUUUAUGUAAUCCUGCCCUGCCCCCUAUUUCUCAGACUGCCCAGUAUUUUGUACUUUGGUCAGCAAUGUCGUUACAUUGUUGUCAGACUGUAAAUCCAUGUUAUAUAUUGUAAAUUGUAGUUAAUAUAUUAAUGAAAUGUUGGUCAUUGAACAUUAAUGAAAAAAAAUGAAAAUAAAUGUUUUCAGACUU